GUGGGAGCCGAGCUUGCUCGCGAUGAACGAUGACGCGGUUUGCAGUUGAACCGUGUCGACUUCAUCGCGAGCAAGCUCGGCUCCCAC
rnacentral:misc_RNA from 2 species